rnacentral:rRNA from 1 species
CCUACGGGUGGCAGCAGUGGGGAAUAUUGGGCAAUGGAGGAAACUCUGACCCAGCAACGCCGCGUGAAGGAUGAAGGUUUUCGGAUUGUAAACUUCUGUCGCGAGGGAUGAAGAAUGACGGUACCUGACCAAGAAGCCCCGGCUAACUACGUGCCAGCAGCCGCGGUAAUACGUAGGGGGCAAGCGUUAUCCGGAAUUACUGGGUGUAAAGGGAGCGUAGACGGUUAAGUAAGUCUGGAGUGAAAGGCCGGGGCUCAACCCCGGGACUGCUCUGGAAACUAUUUAACUUGAGUGCAGGAGAAGUAUGCGGAAUGCGUGGUGUAGCGGUGAAAUGCAUAGAUAUCACGCAGAACUCCGAUUGCGAAGGCAGCAUACCGGCGCUCAACUGACGCUGAGGCACGAAAGCGUGGGGAUCGAACAGGAUUAGAUACCCGGGUAGUC